UGCGUAGGCGGUUUGUUAAGUCAGAUGUGAAAGCCCCGGGCUUAACCUGGGAACUGCAUUUGAUACUGGCAAACUAGAGUGUGGUAGAGGGAAGUGGAAUUCCUCAUGUAGCGGUGAAAUGCGUAGAUAUGAGGAGGAACACCAGUGGCGAAGGCGACUUCCUGGACCAACACUGACGCUCAGGUACGAAAGCGUGGGUAGCAAACAGGAUUAGAUACCCUGGUAGUCC
rnacentral:rRNA from 1 species